AUGGCUUCCAUUGUAAAGGUAUGGGUUGGUGAACUUUCAAAGCUAAGAGAAAAAGUUCUUCCUCUUAAGCCUUUGUUCUCAAAAGCCAAACAAGGAACAGAUCAAAACAAUAAAGAGAUUGUUGAUAUUCUCAGCAAAGGCAGCUCUUCCUCUCACUCUUCAACUAGUAUGUCAGAGGAAACCGUUUGUUUGCUUAUGAAUCGAUUCGUCCCUUGGUGA